rnacentral:rRNA from 1 species
UACAGAGGGUGCGAGCGUUAAUCGGAAUUACUGGGCGUAAAGCGCACGCAGGCGGUUUGUUAAGUCAGAUGUGAGAUCCCCGGGCUCAACCUGGGAACUGCAUUUGAAACUGGCAAGCUUGAGUCUCGUAGAGGGGGGUAGAAUUCCAGGUGUAGCGGUGAAAUGCGUAGAGAUCUGGAGGAAUACCGGUGGCGAAGGCGGCCCCCUGGACGAAGACUGACGCUCAGGUGCGAAAGCAUGGGGAGCGAACAGG